rnacentral:rRNA from 1 species
AAACAUGGUGGUCUGAUUAUUUAUAUAACAUCUGGCCUGCCCACUGAUUAUGAAGGGCCGCAGUAUACUGACUGUGCAAAGGUAGCAUAAUCAUUAGGUUUUUAAUUGAGAUCUGGAAUGAAUGGUUUUACGAAGCACUGACUGUCUCUAUUUAAUAUGAUUUAAUUUAACUUUUUAGUAAAAAGGCUAGAAUUUGAGUGUGGGACGAGAAGACCCUAUAGAGCUUAAUAGGCUAUUUUAUGGUACUUAUUGGAUUUAACUAAUUAUAAUGGAAUGUCCUAUUUAACUGGGGCGGUAUUGAGAUAAUUCUAACUCUUGUAUUGUUUAUAGUGAUGAUUAGACAAAAGAAUCAAAAUUUUUGAUUUAGAUAAAGUUACCUUAGGGAUAACAGCGUAAUUUAUUUGGAGAGUUCUUAUUGAUAGAUAAGUUUGCGACCUCGAUGUUGAAUUAAGAUUUCAUAAGGAUGUAGCAGUUUAUAAUGAUAGUCUGUUCGACUAUUAAAUUCUUACGUGAUCUGAG